UGAAAUGUGAUAAGUAAUGCGAAUUGCAGAAUCUCGUGAAUCAUCGAAUCUUUGAACGCACAUUGCGCCCUGUGGCUAUUCCGCAGGGCAUGCCUGUCUCAGUGUCAUAUACAUAUCCUCCGGCAUUAGGUUGCUGGGAACCGUUGGGGCGUGCGACGCUUGUUCAUUGCAGCCCUCAAAUCCAUCGGCAGUCCCGUACCUCGGUCACCUGUGCAGAUAAUACGCUAUGCUGAGCGCUGGUCUGUCACAGCCGGGUGGGAGUUAAGCCAGGAGAGGGUCAAGACCCGAUCAUAGUCUGUGUCAUUGGUCUUGACCUGAGAUCAGGUAGGAGUACCCGCUGAACUUAA
rnacentral:misc_RNA from 1 species